UACGAAGGGUGCAAGCGUUGUUCGGAAUUACUGGGCGUAAAGGGCGCGUAGGCGGGUCAGUAAGUCGAUUGUGAAAGCCCUGGGCUUAACCCGGGAAUGGCAGUCGAAACUACUGAUCUUGAAUGCUUGAGAGGAUGGCGGAAUUCCCGGUGUAGUAGUGAAAUACGUAGAUAUCGGGAAGAACACCUGAGGCGAAGGCGGCUAUCUGGCGAUGCAUUGACGCUGAGGCGCGAAAGCGUGGGGAGCAAAAGGG
rnacentral:rRNA from 1 species